rnacentral:rRNA from 1 species
AUUGAACGCUGGCGGCAGGCCUAACACAUGCAAGUCGAACGAGUGGCGGACGGGUGAGUAAUGUCUGGGAAACUGCCCGAUGGGGGGGGAUAACUACUGGAAACGGUAGCUAAUACCGCAUACCAUCGGAUGUGCCCAGAUGGGAUUGGCUGGUAGGUGGGGUAACGGCUAACCUAGGCGACGCUCCCUAGCUGGUCUGAGAGGAUGACCAGCCACACUGGAACUGAGACACGGUCCAGACUCCUACGGGAGGAAGCAGUGGGGAAUAUUGGACAAUGGGCGCAAUCCUGAUGCAGCCAUGCCGCGUGUAUGAAGAAGGCCUUCGGGUUGUAAAGUACUUUCAGCGGGGAGGCGUUACCCGCAGAAGAAGCACCGGCUAACUCCGUGCCAGCAGCCGCGGUAAUUC